AACGAACGCUGGCGGCGUGCCUAACACAUGCAAGUCGUGCGAGAAAGUUCCUUCGGGAGCGAGUAAAGCGGCGCACGGGUGAGUAACACGUAGGUAACCUGCCCCCCAGUCUGGAACAACUAGAGGAAACUCUAGCUAAUGCCGGAUGAGACCACGAUCCCUUCGGGGGUUGCGGCCAAAGAUGGCCUCUACUUGUAAGCUAUCGCUGAGGGAUGGGCCUGCGGGCCAUUAGCUUGUUGGUGAGGUAACGGCUCACCAAGGCUGUGAUGGCUAGCUGGUCUGAGAGGAUGACCAGCCACACUGGGACUGAGACACGGCCCAGACUCCUACGGGAGGCAGCAGUGGGGAAUAUUGCGCAAUGGGCGAAAGCCUGACGCAGCGACGCCGCGUGGGUGAUGAGCCA
rnacentral:rRNA from 1 species